rnacentral:rRNA from 1 species
GACGAACGCUGGCGGCGUGCUUAACACAUGCAAGUCGAACGGAAAGGCCUUUUCGGAGGUACUCGAGUGGCGCACGGGUGAGUAACACGUGGGUGAUCUGCCCUGCACUCUGGGAUAAGCCUGGGAAACUGGGUCUAAUACCGGAUAGGACCGCACUUUAGUGUGUGUGGUGGAAAGUUUUUUCGGUGUAGGAUGAGCCCGCGGCCUAUCAGCUUGUUGGUGGGGUAAUGGCCUACCAAGGCGGCGACGGGUAGCCGGACUGAGAGGUUGGUCGGCCACAUUGGGACUGAGAUACGGCCCAGACUCCGACGGGAGGCAGCAGUGGGGAAUAUUGCACAAUGGGCGCAAGCCUGAUGCAGCGACGCCGCGUGGGGGAUGACGGCCUUCGGGUUGUAAACUCCUUUCGCCAGGGACGAAGCGUUUUGUGACGGUACCUGGAGAAGAAGCACCGGCUAACUACGUG